rnacentral:rRNA from 1 species
AUUGAACGCUGGCGGAAUGCUUUACACAUGCAAGUCGAACGGUAGAGGGGCAACCCUUGAGAGUGGCGAACGGGUGAGUAAUGUAUCGGAACAUGCCCAGUCGUGGGGGAUAACGUAGCGAAAGUUACGCUAAUACCGCAUACGACCUAUGGACGAAAGCGGGGGAACGCAAGACCUCGCGCGACUGGAGUGGCUGAUAUCAGACUAGGUGGGUGGUGGGGUAAAGGCCUACCAAGCCGAGGAUCUGUAGCUGGUCCGAGAGGACGACCAGCCACACUGGGACUGAGAGACGGCCCAGACUCCUACGGGAGGCAGCAGUGGGGAAUGUUGGGCAAUGGGCGCAAGCCUGAUCCGGCCAUUCCGCGUGCAGGAAGAAGGCCUUCGGGUUGUAAACUGCUUUUGUACGGAACGAAACGCGCUGAGCUAAUACCUCGGCGUAAUGACGGUACCGUAAGAAUAAGCACCGGCUAACUACGUGCCAGCCGCCGCCGUAA